rnacentral:lncRNA from 1 species
CAGUGAGGACUGGAGCCCAUACAAGUUUCUUCCUGGUCUUAGGUACUAUCCGUACAACAAUUAAGAAGCUACAUCAAGGCCAGGAGUCUGCUGAGUUGUCUCCAAAGGAGACUUCACCUAGCAUCCACCACCGGCCCCAGGUGCAGAUCCAAACAGACAAACACGAUUCUUUGAGAACAAGGUCUGCUCUUCUCCCUUUGGAAGCAGGAACGAGGGUUCCACAUUGGGAAUGUGGGCUGAUGUCUUCAAGACCUCUAUCAAGCAGAGGAGGAGGGUGGGCCAAGGGCAAAGAGACCCACAGGCAUCAAGGAGGGGCUGCUCUCCAAACAUGUUUGGAAAAGUAAAUCUAUGUGGCAUAAGAAGUAGACUGUGCUGGUCAUGGAGAUGCACCAUUUAGAUCUUAUUCAAGAGAACCUGCUGUGAGGGAGCAAAGUUGGCUGAUGACCUCCAGCUGCCACCUCUUUGGAUCCAUCACAAUGUUCACACCAAGGCCACACCUCUUCCAGACUCUCCCAGUCAAUGACUGAGCAUAACAAGGCCCAACUCUUCCCAUCAUGGAGUUUCUUCAACUGGCAGUCUUCUCAGGAUUCCCUAAAGGCCUGCCCAGGACUUUCUCUAAACUCACUGUGAUCUGAGACUCUUCUUACCCAACCCUUCCUUACCUCUCCUUUUUCAGGUGUCAGACCUGCAUUGUGGUCUGAAGGAUUUCCUUGCCUACUAUUGCUCUCUCCUCCUGUAUGCUUCACAGGCAUUUCCCCCCAUAAAUCACGUACAUGUCUAAUCCGAUCUUGGUAUCUGCUUCUUGAAGGACCAAACUGACAUACACCCCAUCAUACUUUUAUUCACUUAAAUUAUGCUGGAGAUUUUUCUUUUCCACAUAUAUAUAACUGCUUCAUUCUAUUCAUUGGCUUCACAGAUACGCAAUAUUUUAUUUAACCAGACACUGAUGGUCAUUUAGGAUUAUCUCCUAAUUUGACUAUUACAAAAAUAAAAAUGCUUCAGUGAUGGAUAUAUCUGAGGAACAGUUUUCAUUUAACUGGAAUUGCUGAAUCCUAGGGUAAGUAAUUUUUAGUUUUGUUAGAUACUGCAGUAUCUAACAUACUCUUUGUCUCUGUUUCUUCACACCAACCCCCUCUGCAUCGUCGAACUUUGUAAAAAUAAAAUCUCACACCUUUAAUUUGUUGUUAUUUAAUUGUUAGUGAUAUUAGGAUCCUUUCACUGAUUUACAAGCUAUUUAUACUUUCUUCUCCUUUCUACUGUCUGCUCUUGUCAUUUGCUUCUUUUUCUAUUGAGUUGUUGAGUUUUUU